AGGAAAUGAGCAGCCCCCUGUCACCUCUCCUGCCAUCCCUUCAGUCACCUGAGAGAACAGAGACUUCCAAAUUUCCUGUGCAGGCAAAGGCAAAGAAGCCCUCUGAUGUUCCAUCAACUGAAGAGAUUUUGAGCGAAAUGAGCAGCCCACUGCCAGCUCUCCUGUCACAUCUCCAGACACUUUCAGGAGCAGAGACU